AGAGUUUGAUCAUGGCUCAGAACGAACGCUGGCGGCAGGCCUAACACAUGCAAGUCGAGCGCGCCUUUCGGGGCGAGCGGCGGACGGGUUAGUAACGCGUGGGAAUAUACCCUUUGGUACGGAAUAGCCUCUGGAAACGGAGAGUAAUACCGUAUGAGCCCUUCGGGGGAAAGAUUUAUCGCCAAAGGAUUAGCCCGCGUUAGAUUAGGUAGUUGGUGGGGUAAUGGCCUACCAAGCCUACGAUCUAUAGCUGGUUUUAGAGGAUGAUCAGCAACACUGGGACUGAGACACGGCCCAGACUCCUACGGGAGGCAGCAGUGGGGAAUCUUGGACAAUGGGGGCAACCCUGAUCCAGCCAUGCCGCGUGAGUGAUGAAGGCCUUAGGGUCGUAAAGCUCUUUCGCCUGUGAAGAUAAUGACGGUAGCAGGUAAAGAAACCCCGGCUAACUCCGUGCCAGCAGCCGCGGUAAUACGGAGGGGGUUAGCGUUGUUCGGAAUUACUGGGCGUAAAGCGCACGUAGGCGGACUGGAAAGUUGGGGGUGAAAUCCCGGGGCUCAACCCCGGAACUGCCUCCAAAACUAUCAGUCUAGAGUUCGAGAGAGGUGAGUGGAAUUCCAAGUGUAGAGGU
rnacentral:rRNA from 1 species